GCCUUCGUGGUGUAGUGGUCAGCACGCUCGGCCUGUGUUCAAGAGAUCCGUGGUUCGAGUCCCGGCGAGGGCA
rfam:Stegodyphus mimosarum contig15624, whole genome shotgun sequence.